AUCAAAUUUCUUAUUCUAUGGUAUCAAGUGAAGACGUUUCUAUUUCUUGGAAUUUUGAAUUGAGGAUAGAACAUUUGCUCAUCAACACAGUCAUAGAGACACAGUGUUAUAUGGAAGGAGAUGCUUGAAAAGCCAGAGAUUGGUAUAUUUUGACGACUCGUAAGUAUUUACAAAAUCUGAACAAAAGUGCUUUUGUUGAAACUCACAAAUGUUGUUUGUUCGUUGGGUGCGAGGUUGGGUGCCAAUGUAGGUAGCAAACAUUCUAAAAAAAUUACAAACUGCAAACUUUAGUGCUCUUCGUCUGGAAGUUGGUAGCUAUAGUAGGCACUAAUUUACUAGACAAAGGCCAGAACUUGAAGCAUAUCGAAGUUUUCUUAUAUUUUGCUGGUGUUUCAUAUUUGCAUUGAAAUAUAGCUAGUGCUCAAUGCUCAUACAUACUGUACAGUCAAUUAAGUUUGCAAUAUGUUACUAUAAGACAGGCAGCAUUAUCACUGAGAUAUUCGGUUCGAAACUGAUGUAGUGUUGGUCCUAGGAUGUAUUUACAAGCUUAACCAAAUUACCAUCGAUCUGCACCCAGCUUUAUUAUUUUACAUUUUAUACUUUGUCUAUGACACCAGACUACAGCCCUUAUGAAAAAAGUCUAUAGGUGGCCUAUAGGAAAUGUUCCAAUUCCUUAUAGAAGCCAAUUCCCUAUAGAGCUCUAUAGGAUUAUAGGCAUCCCUAUAGGUCACCUAUAGAAAAUGUUCCAAUUGCCUAUAAAAACCUAUAGGUUUCCUAUAGGAACCUAUAGGUAGGCCUAUAGGCCAAGCCUAUAACUUUUUUUGUAAGGGAUAUAUAACUUGUCAAGUUGAGAGUGCUGGUGCCACUGAUGCUCAAUGGGUUAAUUCAGACUAUCUGUCCAUGUGUUUAAAGACAACCUGUUAAGUUAAUUGCAUUGUGCCAUAAUUCUCCCUACUUAUAAUAAUUAUUAUUUUAUUCUGUCUAAUGCAGAUCAUUUCUUGUCAAGGGGAGAGCACAUGCAGGUACUGAAUGU